rnacentral:rRNA from 1 species
AAUACAUAGGGUAAGGAGGCGAACCGGGGGAACUGAAACAUCUAAGUACCCCGAGGAAAAGAAAUCAACCGAGAUUCCGAAAGUAGCGGCGAGCGAAAUUGGACUAGCCCUUAAGCUUUACACGCGUUAGACGAACGGUCUGGAAAGUCCGACGAUACAGGGUGAUAGUCCCGUAGUUGACGACGUGUGUUCAGUGAAAUCGAGUAGGGCGGGACACGUGAUAUCCUGUCUGAAUAUGGGGG